rnacentral:rRNA from 1 species
UACGGAGGGUGCAAGCGUUAUCCGGAUUUAUUGGGUUUAAAGGGUCCGUAGGCGGACUUAUAAGUCAGUGGUGAAAGCCUGUCGCUUAACGAUAGAACUGCCAUUGAUACUGUAAGUCUUGAGUAUAUUUGAGGUAGCUGGAAUAAGUAGUGUAGCGGUGAAAUGCAUAGAUAUUACUUAGAACACCAAUUGCGAAGGCAGGUUACCAAGAUAUAACUGACGCUGAGGGA